UACGUAGGGAGCGAGCGUUAUCCGGAUUUACUGGGUGUAAAGGGCGCGCAGGCGGGCCGGCAAGUUGGAAGUGAAAUCCGGGGGCUUAACCCCCGAACUGCUUUCAAAACUGCUGGUCUUGAGUGAUGGAGAGGCAGGCGGAAUUCCGUGUGUAGCGGUGAAAUGCGUAGAUAUACGGAGGAACACCAGUGGCGAAGGCGGCCUGCUGGACAUUAACUGACGCUGAGGCGCGAAAGCGUGGGGAGCAAACAGG
rnacentral:rRNA from 1 species